AGUUUGAUCAUGGCUCAGGAUGAACGCUGGCUACAGGCUUAACACAUGCAAGUCGAGGGGAAACGAUAUUAGAAGCUUGCUUCCGAUAGGGCCGUCGACCGGCGCACGGGUGAAUAACGCGUAUCCAACCUGCCCAUCACUUGGGGAUAACCUUGCGAAAGUAAGACUAAUACCCAAUGAUAUCUCUAGAAGACAUCUGAAAGAGAUUAAAGAUUUAUCGGUGAUGGAUGGGGAUGCGUCUGAUUAGCUUGUUGGCGGGGUAACGGCCCACCAAGGCGACGAUCAGUAGGGGUUCUGAGAGGAAGGUCCCCCACAUUGGAACUGAGACACGGUCCAAACUCCUACGGGAGGCAGCAGUGAGGAAUAUUGGUCAAUGGGCGAGAGCCUGAACCAGCCAAGUAGCGUGCAGGAUGACGGCCCUAUGGGUUGUAAACUGCUUUUAUAAGGGAAUAAAGUGAGUCUCGUGAGACUUUUUGCAUGUACCUUAUGAAUAAGGACCGGCUAAUUCCGUG
rnacentral:rRNA from 1 species